rnacentral:rRNA from 1 species
AGUGAACGCUGGCGGUAGGCCUAACACAUGCAAGUCGAACGGCAGCACAGUAAGAGCUUGCUCUUACGGGUGGCGAGUGGCGGACGGGUGAGGAAUACAUCGGAAUCUACUUUUUCGUGGGGGAUAACGUAGGGAAACUUACGCUAAUACCGCAUACGACCUACGGGUGAAAGCAGGGGAUCUUCGGACCUUGCGCGAAUGAAUGAGCCGAUGUCGGAUUAGCUAGUUGGCGGGGUAAAGGCCCACCAAGGCGACGAUCCGUAGCUGGUCUGAGAGGAUGGUCAGCCACACUGGAACUGAGACACGGUCCAGACUCCUACGGGAGGCAGCAGUGGGGAAUAUUGGACAAUAGGCGCAAGCCUGAUCCAGCCAUACCGCGUGGGUGAAGAAGGCCUUCGGGUUGUAAAGCCCUUUUGUUGGGAAAGAAAAGCAGCAGGUUAAUACCCCGCUGUUCUGACGGUACCCAAAGAAUAAGCACCGGCUAACUUCGUG